UACGUAGGGUGCGAGCGUUGUCCGGAAUUAUUGGGCGUAAAGAGCUCGUAGGCGGUUUGUCGCGUCUGCCGUGAAAGUCCGGGGCUCAACUCCGGAUCUGCGGUGGGUACGGGCAGACUAGAGUGAUGUAGGGGGAGACUGGAAUUCCUGGUGUAGCGGUGAAAUGCGCAGAUAUCAGGAGGAACACCGAUGGCGAAGGCAGGUCUCUGGGCAUUAACUGACGCUGAGGAGCGAAAGCAUGGGGAGCGAACAGG
rnacentral:rRNA from 1 species